UCAGGUGGCCGCAGAGAAUAGGCCCAAGCGACUGUUUACCAAAAACAUAGGUUUCUGCUAAGUCGCAAGACGAUGUAUAGGAGCUGACGCCUGCCCGGUGCUGGAAGGUUAAGGGGAUCUGUUAGAGCAAUCGAAGCAGUGAACUUAAGCCCCAGUAAACGGCGGCCGUAACUAUAACGGUCCUAAGGUAGCGAAAUUCCUUGUCGGGUAAGUUCCGUCCCGCACGAAAGGCGUAACGAUUUGGGAACUGUCGCAACAACAGACUCGGUGAAAUUGUAAUUCCGGUGAAGAUGCCGGAUACCUGCGACAGGACGGAAAGACCCCAUGGAGCUUUACUGUAGCUUGACAUUGGGUCUCGGUACUACAUGUACAGGAUAGGUGGGAGGCUUUGAAACCAGGACGCCAGUUUUGGCGGAGCCAUCCUUGGGAUACCACCCUUGUAGUACUGGGACUCUAACCAUAGGCCAUGAAUCUGGUCUUGGGACAC
rnacentral:rRNA from 1 species